AAGGCUAUAGUCUAUAUUAUGACGUAUAAGUUGCAUUUAUAAAAAGUUUUAAAAACUAGCUUUA
rnacentral:tRNA from 1 species